AGUGGGGAAUUUUGGACAAUGGGCGCAAGCCUGAUCCAGCAAUGCCGCGUGAGUGAAGAAGGCCUUCGGGUUGUAAAGCUCUUUUGUCAGGGAAGAAACGGUAGAGGCUAAUAUCCUUUGCUAAUGACGGUACCUGAAGAAUAAGCACCGGCUAACUACGUGCCAGCAGCCGCGGUAAUACGUAGGGUGCAAGCGUUAAUCGGAAUUACUGGGCGUAAAGCGUGCGCAGGCGGUUUUGUAAGUCUGUCGUGAAAGCCCCGGGCUCAACCUGGGAAUUGCGAUGGAGACUGCAAGGCUUGAAUCUGGCAGAGGGGGGUAGAAUUCCACGUGUAGCAGUGAAAUGCGUAGAGAUGUGGAGGAACACCGAUGGCGAAGGCAGCCCCCUGGGUCAAGAUUGACGCUCAUGCACGAAAGCGUGGGGAGCAAA
rnacentral:rRNA from 1 species